rnacentral:misc_RNA from 1 species
ACAAACUUGGUCAUUUAGAGGAAGUAAAAGUCGUAACAAGAUUUCCAUAGGUGAACCUGCAGAAGGAUCAUUAAUGAAUAAAGCAUGGUUAGAUCUGUUGCUGGCUUCUUUAGAGAAGCAAGUGCACAAUCUGAUCAUUUUCAUUUCCACACACCCCUUUGUGCACUUGUGUAGACCGAGGAAUACCUUUUAAGUAAUUGGACUUUACUUGAUUUUUUUAAGAAUUGCAACUAUGGCUUUUCUUUGAUUGUUCCAGUCUAUAUCUUUUCACAUGCAACUUCAAUUGAAUGUGUUCAGAAUAUUAUUUGCGAAUAAAAUAUUACAACUUUCAACAACGUAUCUCUUGACUCUCGCAUCGAUGAAGAACGCAGC